rnacentral:lncRNA from 1 species
GCGCAUGAGCAUGCUAUGCGGGGCCGCAGGUUCAUCAAUUAUCUUCCUCAAUGAGUAGCAGUCCUUGGAUGUGAAGCAGGAGGCUCACGCAAAUCCCGUUGUGGACUGGACGCCACAUCUUUAUCAGGUUUUUACUGUCUUUCUUUUCUUGAGAGGACCUACGGCAGGCAAAUUGCCAACGAAGAAGAUAUAUUAAGGUAUGCUUAGCGCGCGUUUGCAUGCAUGCAAGAUUAAG